UACGUAGGGUGCGAGCGUUGUCCGGAAUUAUUGGGCGUAAAGGGCUCGUAGGCGGUCUGUCGCGUCGGGAGUGAAAACUCAGGGCUUAACCCUGAGCCUGCUUCCGAUACGGGCAGACUAGAGGUAGGUAGGGGAGAAUGGAAUUCCUGGUGUAGCGGUGAAAUGCGCAGAUAUCAGGAGGAACACCGGUGGCGAAGGCGGUUCUCUGGGCCUUACCUGACACUGAGGAGCGAAAGCGUGGGGAGCGAACAGG
rnacentral:rRNA from 1 species